UUCUCAAAGGUCGGGUUCCUACAGUGCUAUAAAAUGACACUACUGUUUAUUUUGGAGAAAUUAAUAUUGUGGGAAGGUGAACCACCAGCUUCCCACAGGUGGGUGUAGAGAAAUCCAGGUCCACAAUAGGAUGUGAUUUGCAGGUGAAGAUGAGGAGCAGAAGGUCUUACUGUUAAUGAAGAUGACACAUGUCUGUGGAGGAGGUAAGUGAGUGCUCUGAGGCUGAGGCUGCAAGAGCAAGGUGAGCAUUCAGCUAGUGAAUGUUUCUCUUUGUUUAUUUCGUGGCUAGAUGGUGAUGGAGAGUGAUGGAUGGUUUGACAGGCAGGCAGAGCUUGAUCCCCCCCAAGGCAGAGCUUUGGGGUUUCAAAGACUCCUCCAGACUCAAAGACAGGAUCAAAGAUAGGAGGAGUUUGAGAAGCCCUCAGACUCCUCCUGUUCACGUAGGAGUUGUCUGCGAAGUGGAAGGGGGACAAGGAGGAAGCCGGAGGGAAUGUUGAAGCAGCGAGAGGUAACGAGGACCUGGAACCUGGAACUCAAGAGCAGAUUCUCAACAGAAACCACAUGCAAAGAAGGACAACGAGGUGCAAAGUAAAUAUUGGGUCAGCUCCUCCUCCUGAUUGCCACCUGAUGAACUCCAAUCCUGCUUAUCGCACCCUGCAAAAGGAGAAGAUGGCGUGGUGGUUGGCGUGACCCGUAUUUGGAGGCCUUGAGUCCUCGAUGCGGCCGUCGUGGGUUCGACUCCCGGACCCGACG